rnacentral:rRNA from 1 species
CAGUCGCCGCGGUAAUACAGAGGGUGCGAGCGUUAAUCGGAUUUACUGGGCGUAAAGCGUGCGUAGGCGGCUUUUUAAGUCGGAUGUGAAAUCCCUGAGCUUAACUUAGGAAUUGCAUUCGAUACUGGGAAGCUAGAGUAUGGGAGAGGAUGGUAGAAUUCCAGGUGUAGCGGUGAAAUGCGUAGAGAUCUGGAGGAAUACCGAUGGCGAAGGCAGCCAUCUGGCCUAAUACUGACGCUGAGGUACGAAAGCAUGGGGAGCAAACAGGAUUAGAUACCCCUGUAGUCCCUGUCUCCUUAUA